GUAGGUGGCAAGCGUUGUCCGGAAUUAUUGGGCGUAAAGCGCGCGCAGGGCGGUCCUUUAAGUCUGAUGUGAAAAGCCCACGGCUCAACCGUGGAGGGUCAUUGGAAACUGGGGGACUUGAGUACAGAAGAGGAAAGCGGAAUUCCAAGUGUAGCGGUGAAAUGCGUAGAGAUUUGGAGGAACACCAGUGGCGAAGGCGGCUUUCUGGUCUGUAACUGACGCUGAGGCGCGAAAGCGUGGGGAGCAAACAGGAUUAGAUACCCUGGUAGUCCACGCCGUAAACGAUGAGUGCUAAGUGGUUAGGGGGUUUCCGCCCCUUAGUGCUGCAGCUAACGCAUUAAGCACUCCGCCUGGGGAGUACGGCCGCAAGGCUG
rnacentral:rRNA from 1 species